rnacentral:rRNA from 1 species
CAUGCAAGUCGAACGGUAAGGCCCCUUCGGGGGUACACGAGUGGCGAACGGGUGAGUAACACGUGGGUGAUCUGCCCUGCACUCUGGGAUAAGCCUGGGAAACUGGGUCUAAUACCGGAUAUGAGCUCCUGUCGCAUGGCGGGGGUUGGAAAGGUUUACUGGUGCAGGAUGGGCCCGCGGCCUAUCAGCUUGUUGGUGGGGUAAUGGCCUACCAAGGCGACGACGGGUAGCCGGCCUGAGAGGGCGACCGGCCACACUGGGACUGAGACACGGCCCAGACUCCUACGGGAGGCAGCAGUGGGGAAUAUUGCACAAUGGGCGAAAGCCUGAUGCAGCGACGCCGCGUGAGGGAUGACGGCCUUCGGGUUGUAAACCUCUUUCAGCAGGGACGAAGCGAGAGUGACGGUACCUGCAGAAGAAGCACCGGCCAACUACGUGCCAGCAGCCGCGGUAAUACGUAGGGUGCGAGCGUUGUCCGGAAUUACUGGGCGUAAAGAGCUCGUAGGCGGUUUGUCGCGUCGUCCGUGAAAACUUGGGGCUCAACCCCAAGCUUGCGGGCGAUACGGGCAGACUUGAGUACUGCAGGGGAGACUGGAAUUCCUGGUGUAGCGGUGAAAUGCGCAGAUAUCAGGAGGAACACCGGUGGCGAAGGCGGGUCUCUGGGCAGUAACUGACGCUGAGAGCGAAAGCU